UACGGAGGGUGCAAGCGUUAUCCGGAUUUACUGGGUUUAAAGGGUGCGUAGGUGGGUUGGUAAGUCAGUGGUGAAAUCUUCGAGCUUAACUCGGAAACUGCCAUUGAUACUAUCAAUCUUGAAUACUUUGGAGGUAAGCGGAAUAUGUCAUGUAGCGGUGAAAUGCUUAGAUAUGACAUAGAACACCAAUUGCGAAGGCAGCUUGCUACACAGUUAUUGACACUGAGGCACGAAAGCGUGGGGAGCAAACAGG
rnacentral:rRNA from 1 species